GGCUUCAGUAACUUCAGCAGGAAUUUGGUGAACAGACAAGAAAAUAGACUGAGCUGCAGACAUGUUAACAAGGCUGGAUAGAGAGACAGACAGGAAAAUGUGGAUGUGGGAGGAGGAGCAGACAAUCGAGGAAGGCGGAUCAGGAGUUUCUCUAAGAAAUCAUCCUGCAAACUGGAUUUUUCUGACCUUCUCUCCCUGGAAGGAUCAACAGAGCUUCAAGCUGAGCUGGGGUUACAAAC